GAUCAAACAGCCAGUCGAGUAGUUAGCGUGUGCGUUAGUAGCCCCUACAAAUGCUGCUUUUUAGGAUUUUGUCGCCAACAUAGGAGUCGGCUUAAAAAGAAUUUUCCACAGCUUGCAAUGAAUCCCUUCAGCAAUAGAUCUGAAUUAGACCUAGCAAAAAGGCGAAAGAACGUUUGAAUCUCGUACUUAUGUGCUAUCUGUUGUCACAACCUGUUUAUUGCAUGCGAAUUAUAUGAUAACUUGUCUGUGCGGUAGGAACUGGACGACAUUAUGUGUAAGGAACAAAAACGAACAUGAGCAGUCAUCAUCAUACAAAUAUGUUCAUAUAACAUAAGCGCGACAUGAAAGUACAAACGGAAAUGACGGUAACAGCAGUGCAGACAGCUUGUUAUGCAUUCGUAUGCAUUAUUUCCAUUCCACAACCUAUUUCGUAGUUCCGCUGGUCGGACGCGGGUAGACCGGUUCUGAAUCUUGAAUGAUGACAUCGUCAAUAUAUUAAAUAACGAGAUUCAGAUACGCCAGUCUCCUAUAAUUCGCGGCUACAAGAAUCUACAUCGAAAAUAAAUGAUAGUUUCUCUUGCAGACGGAUAGGUUAAUUGCUUUUACUGGCACCUUUCACGGGACUUGUUUAAUACAUAUAAAAGUCAACCAUAAAGAAUCACAAAUAAAAAUUCACCGAUAUUCACAUGAUACCUCAAAUAUUCCAAAUUCGAUAAAUGUUGAUAAGUUGCUCGUAAAAAUGAAAAUUUUAGCAAUCAACAAGAACUCCAAAAAUAUAGUCUGCGUGCAUAAGAUGGCUUAGUCAGUGAGCAAUAAUUUGUAAUUAUUGUUUGGAAUGCAUCGAAAAACUCCAAUACUUUAAACCAGACAAAACAAGCAAAUCUU